GACGAACCGUGCGAACGUUAUUCGGAAUCACUGGGCUUAAAGGGCGCGUAGGCGGGUUGCCAAGUCUGUGGUGAAAUCCUCCAGCUUAACUGGAGAACGGCCGUGGAUACUGGCGACCUCGAGGGGGGUAGGGGCUUGCGGAACUGUGCGUGGAGCGGUGAAAUGCGUUGAUAUGCACAGGAACUCCGGUGGCGAAGGCGGCGAGCUGGACCCUUUCUGACGCUGAGGAGCGAAAGCUAGGGGAGCAAACGGG
rnacentral:rRNA from 1 species